AUUGAACGCUGGCGGCAUGCCUUACACAUGGAAGUCGAACGGCAGCGGGGGAAAAGCUUGCUUUUCCUGCCGGCGAGUGGCGAACGGGUGAGUAAUACAUCGGAACGUGCCCUGUAGUGGGGGAUAACUAGUCGAAAGAUUAGCUAAUACCGCAUACGACCUGAGGGUGAAAGUGGGGGACCGCAAGGCCUCAUGCUAUAGGAGCGGCCGAUGUCUGAUUAGCUAGUUGGUGGGGUAAAGGCCUACCAAGGCGACGAUCAGUAGCUGGUCUGAGAGGACGAUCAGCCACACUGGGACUGAGACACGGCCCAGACUCCUACGGGAGGCAGCAGUGGGGAAUUUUGGACAAUGGGCGAAAGCCUGAUCCAGCAAUGCCGCGUGUGUGAAGAAGGCCUUCGGGUUGUAAAGCACUUUUGUCCGGAAAGAAAUGGCUCUGGUUAAUACCUGGGGUCGAUGACGGUACCGGAAGAAUAAGGACCGGCUAACUACGUGCCAGCCGCCGCGGUAA
rnacentral:rRNA from 1 species